GAAAGGCAAUAUGUUAAAAAAUGAUGAAUAAGUGCACAUACACACAUAGUGCAUAUGAAUUGCGCGUAUCUUAAUAUGGGUUUGGGUCUCUACUUAUAUUUUAAUAUGCUGUAUUUGUGUGUGUGUGUGUGUGUGUGUGUGUGUGUGUGUGUGUGUGUG